GAUCCGGUUGAUUUUCUCUCCGCUUCAAGAUCUCGAAAAAGUUUUAAAUCUCAAAAAGCGUAAAACGCUACAAAUGGAUGUAUAAAUAGCCUAGAAUGUUUCGGAAAAAAUGUCGAUUACCAAGAAAUGAUCCGACCAAGGAUUCCGACGCAGAAUUCAUAGAACACUAAACUGAGGAGUAGGCUUUAUCCCAGUUGGAAUGUUAUAAACAGAAAUAUGAGUUCUAAGGGUUACGUCAGUUUGCCUGUGAUAGAUACCUGUUGAAUGUUAAUCUUUGGAUUACUUGGAUACGCUACACGCUACCACCCUACCACUCACUACCUCUCACCUCAUCUCACUACUAUCCUUGCAUUUUGUUUCUUACCACGUUUCCUAGCAACCAAGGGUACAAACAAACCUUAUUCAACUUGUAACUAAUAUCUAUCAAAAACCCUUUCGAUUCAGUAAAGAUUUCACAAUUUCUAAGAUUAAAAUACAGUUCAAUUCUACCAUAAAGUGCCUACUUCAGCAAAAAACAUGUUACGAAGUGCCAACACCGGCACCAUCCUGUGUGAAGAACAGUCAAAGUUUAUCCUAGACCGAAUCAGCACCGUCGAGAAGCACUUCAGCGAACUUUGCGGGGCGUUCGCCGAUUUCACCCGGAAGGUUGCUCGCCUGCGGGACAAAUCGGACGAGCUGGCCCACGUGACGCAGGACUAUUCCUCGUCGGAAAAGUACAACAAAACGCUGGCCAGCGGACUGUCCAGCCUGUCGAAAGCCAUCACGCUGAUUGGAGACUUUCAGGAUCUGGAGGUGAAACGGCUGGAGAAUAGGAUCGUUUCGGAGCUGUCGCAGUACGAGGUUGUGUGCAAGCACUGCAAGGAAAGCGUCAAGGAUGCCAUCAUGGCGCGGGACAAAGAGCUGGCCAAGCGGAAACAACUGGAUCAGGCCAGGGCACGGAACGCGAGGGGCAAAAAGACGGCCAAGGACGCGGAGCUGAUCAAGUCGAACUUGGAGGUGUCGAAGAGUUUGAAGGAAAUGGAGGAGAUUGUGGGCAAGUUCGAACGGCAGAAGUUGAUUGAUUUCAAGAGCUUGCUGCUGGAUUUCGUGAUGAUUGAGCUCAAGUUUCAUACCAACGCGGUGGAGGUGCUUUCUGCAACGUAUCAGGACAUUUCCGACAUAGACGAGAACAAGGACUAUCAGGGAGUUCACAAGGAAAUCAAAAGACAGAACAGGCAAUUCAAGAAAUUCCUCCAACAAGACGAACUAUCCGACCGCUACUUCCUGCAACGCAUCAAAUCCCAAUCGAUGGGAGCACUGAGUUCGAUGUUCGCGGCCAGCACCAGCGGAGCAAACCGGAAGCACAAAAGCCUUAGCUCCAAUUCGCUCAAUUCUUCCCAAGAGCAAGAACCGUCACCGGAAGCGGAAGCCCCAUUGGAUCCCAUGCAACUGUUGGCUGUGAAGCGGAAAGGUCAUCAUCUCGGAGCGACGGUCGAUGCGACUAGGCGAUCGGUGGAGUCAUUGGUAAGAUGAAAUCCGUGUAAGAUAAAAGGACUACUUUCAAACUUCUAUUAAUGAAACUAGGAUUCGCUGAAGCGGGAUCACUCGGAGGAUUCUAAAAGUACCACAGAAGAUAGCGAUGACGACAGUGACGACGACGAGAGCGAUACCGGAACGGAAUUUGACGAGAAAGCCGCUCCGAAAUCGUCUACAACAGCGACAAAGACUAGUCAAGAUUCCCCGAAGAAAGCCCAUAUCGAUCAAACUAACCCCCACCUCAGCAAGACAACUUUCGUUAUUAAAUCAAUCAACGGAAUCGUUCGGAACAUGAAGCUUUGAGGCGAGACGCACCCCGCGAAGGCGCCUCCCCGAGUUGGAGUGUUAUUACUGCGUGUUUCUAUAUUAUUAAAUUUGUAUCCUUGAUUUUUGGCUUACUUCGUACCGAUUGUUUGUUUGUCGGAUCUCUUCCUCCCGUUUCCUCCCAUGUUAUAAAGGUGAUUGCAAUAACAAAUAAUGUGGAUGAAUUUUGUCGAUAAUGCCAUGACUCCCUAUCAAACCCCAAU